CUGAGGAGUGUCUCUGCCCGACCGCCACCCCAUCUGGGAGGCCCAGCAUCCAAUUCAGUCGCCUUCAAGGAGUCUCUUCAGUCUAAUUUAUUCUAGAACAAUUCUUCAGGCUUCCCUUCUCUGGCCAAGAUUUUUGAAAAAUACAGGUCAAUGACUUUGUAGGUUGUCUUCAGUUUGGAUUUGUCUGCUGUGUCCUCAUGAUUUAUGCAUCUCUGGCAGGAAUACCACAGAAACGAUGCGACAUUCUUCUCAGUGUACCAUAUUAGGAGUCACACAAUGUCAACUUGUCCCAUUACUGCUGAUGUUAAUGUUUACCACUUGGCUAAGAUGAUGUCUGCCAGGUUUCUCCACUGGAAAGUUAACAGUGGCUGACGCUUCGUGAGCGAUGCUGGUUGUCACCAAGUCACUGGUGAAACUGGGAGAGCGCCCCUGGUGAGACGGUGUGAGGAU
rnacentral:lncRNA from 1 species